AUCAUGACGACGCCAGUGAUUAGAGUUUGAUCCUGGCUCAGAACGAACGCUGGCGGCAGGCCUAACACAUGCAAGUCGAGCGUGAAAGGGGCUUCGGCCCUGAGUAAAGCGGCGCACGGGUGAGUAACACGUGAAUAAUCUGCCCCUCCGACCGGGAUAACAGACCGAAAGGACUGCUAAUACCGGAUAAGCCCACAAGUCAACCGGGCGUGCGGGAAAAGUACGGGAUCCUUCGGGACCGUAUGCGGAAGGAUGAGUUCGCGUUCCAUUAGAUAGUUGGUGAGGUAACGGCCCACCAAGUCGACGAUGGAUAGCUGGUCUGAGAGGAUGAUCAGCCACACUGGAACUGAGACACGGUCCAGACUCCUACGGGAGGCAGCAGUGGGGAAUCUUGCGCAAUGGGGGAAACCCUGACGCAGCCAUGCCGCGUGAGUGAUGAAGGCCUUCGGGUUGUAAAGCUCUGUCUAAGGGGACGAAUGGUGCAUAGAACAAGACGCUAUGCACGUGACGGUACCCUUAAAGAAAACACCGGCUAACUCCGUGCCAGCAGCCGCGGCAAUACGGGGGGUGUAAGCGUUGUUCGGAAUUACUGGGCGUAAAGGGCGUGCAGGCGGUCACCGCAAGUUGAAUGUGAAAUCCCCGAGCUUAACUUGGGACGUGCGUUCAAGACUGCGGGACUCGAAUACGGGAGAGGGUCGUGGAAUUCCUGGUGUAGAGGUGAAAUUCGUAGAGAUCAGGAGGAACACUCGUGGCGAAAGCGACGACCUGGACCGAUAUUGACGCUGAGACGCGAAAGCGUGGGUAGCAAACAGGAUUAGAUACCCUGGUAGUCCACGCCGUAAACGAUGGGUACUAUGCACUGCGGGUAUGACCCCUGCGGCGCAGCAGCAAACGUAUUAAGUACCCCGCCUGGGGAGUACGGUCGCAAGAUUAAAACUCAAAGGAAUUGACGGGGCCCGCACAAGCGGUGGAGCAUGUGGUUUAUUCGAGCACGCGCAGACCUUACCUGGGUUUGACAUCUCGGAUCUGUAGAGAAACGAGUGCCCUCGGACGAGAGACAGGUGCUGCAUGCUGUCGUCAGCUCGUGUCCUGAAUGUGGGUAGUCCGCACGAGCGCAUCUGUCUGAUGCAUCAUGAUGGCCUUCACGGAACUGCAGUUAUCGAGAGUGGAUAGCUAGUCUAUGGCCUAGUCCAGCUCACACGGCUCAAUUGGGGUAUCCAAAGACGCUAGCGCGCGAGCCU
rnacentral:rRNA from 1 species